UAUUGUAUUGCUCAAUACUCAUUUCUUUUUCAUCCAUUCCGAGCACAACCCCUGUGAAAAAUGAAACAACAAAAGAUUAGUAACAGUUUAAUUUAGAAUAUAUAUCUUCAACAAGUAAAAUUAUUAAAGAGUAAGGCAUAGUCAACUAUUUUUCAUGGGGUAUAAUUGUCUAAGUCUUGCCUCAAGGAAAAGAGUUAUAGGUCAUCUGCCAAGUCAUUACAGACUAAGGCAGUGUCAAUUCUUGCCUAUGGGGCAUAAUUGUCUAAGUCUUGCCUCUAGGGAAAAAGUUAUAGGCCAUCUACUAAAUCAUUACUGACUAAGGCAGUGUCAACUCUUGCCCAUAGGGCAUAACUUGUUCAUUUUGUGUCUAAUUCUUACCUCUAGAGAAAGAGUUAUAGAUCAUCUGCUAAAUCUUUAUAGACAUGCAGUGUCAACUCUUGCCCAUGGGGCAUAAGUUAUUUUGUGAUCUAAAAGUCUUACCUCUUGGCCAAGAGUUAUAAAUCAUUUACCAAACAUUACACACUAAGUUAGUGUCAACACCUGCCCAUGGGGCAUAACUUGUUCAUUUGGUGGAUUAAUUUUUGCGUGUCGGGCAAGAGUUGUAGAUCAUCUUUUAAUACUAAUUAUAUCACUAGUUUGAAAUACUCAAAACUAAUUUUUUGUACCACCUUGACCCUAUGCGUUUGGCUUUGCCAAAAAAUGCUGCAAUCAACGUUAACUCCCAUAUUAAUGACCUUUCCUUCCAAAAUCAAUCCCCUGUAACUAGAUUGACAAGACACAACUCCCCCUGCAAAAGUAACCAAAUACCCUGAAAUAGACUUGCGAGUAUCAACAUCACCGGCCAUAUCUGAAUUAGUAUAACCACAAAGACUAGGCUUCCCUAUAUCAAGACAUAAACUCAGACUAGAAGUGCCACAAAGAUAUCUCAUAAUCCACUUCACAGCAUUUCUAUGUCCUCUUCCUGAAUUAGAAAGAAAAUGACUAACAAUACCAACAUCAUGAGAAAUAUCCGGUCUUGUGCAAACCAUUGCAUACAUCAAACUACCAACAGCUGAAGCAUAAGGAACUUUCUUCAUAUCUUCCUUCUCAUCAUCACUGGAAGGACACUGCUUCGUGCUUAACUUGAAAUGCAUAGCUAAAGGUGUACUGACAACCUUAGCCUUGUCCAUGUUAAACCUUCAUCUUGUGAUAACCAAAACUUCUUGGCCUUUCUGUCAUGGACAAUCUGUAUGCCAAAAAUCUGCUUUGCUGGUCCUAAGUCUUUCAUAGAAAAAGACUUACUCAACUCUUGCUUCAACUUUUGAAUCCUGCAAGCAUUAUGACCGACAACAAGCAUGUCAUCAACAUAAAGCAACACAAUAAUAAAGUCACCACAAGAGAAUUUUUGUACAAAAACAAAAUGGUCUGAAGUAGUCUUUUUAAAGCCCUGCUGAUUCAUAAAGGAACCAAACUUCCUAUACCACUGCCUAAAAGCUUGUUUCAAACCAUACAAGCUCUUCUUCAAUUUACAAACAUAAUUUUCUUUUCCUCUGACUUCAAAACCUUCGGGUUUCUCCAUAUAAAUUUCUUCAUCUAAGUCACCAUGGAGAAAAGUAGUUUUAACAUCCAUUUGCUCAACCUCUAAAUCUAGACUUGCAGCUAAGCCUAGAACCAUACGAAUGGAUAACAUCUUUACAACCAGAGAAAAUAUCUCAUCAAAAUCAACUCUCUUUUUCUGAUUAAAUCCCUUCACAACCAAUCUAACUUUGUACCGUGAAAUUGGAUUACCAUCUUCAUGCUUCACCCGAAAAAUCCACUUAUUUUUCAAAGCUUUUCUGUUUUUAGGCAGCUUAACCAAAUCAAAGGUAUGAUUAUCUUACAAAGAUUUAAUUUUAUCUUCCAUAGCAUCAAACCACUUUUAUUUUUCUUUACUUUCCAUGGCCUCAUCAAGACUCUCAGGUUCUCCCUGGUCAGUCAAAAGUACAUACUCACUGGGAGAAUAAUGAGAUGGAGGUAUUCUUUUUCUUGUAGAUCGUUUGAGAGAAAUCUCUAGAGUAUCAACAACUGGUUUCUGAUCAACCAUAUCAACUUGCACUGGAGCAUCAACAACUUCUUGCUGGACAUUAUGAACAUGAUCAUCAUCUUUAUUAUCAACUUGAUUUUUAUCAUUAUGAAGAUUUUCUUCAGGAGCAAUAGUCAAAAGAACUGGAUCAACAUCAACUAGGCUCUCAUUACUCUGAGAAUCAACCUUCUCAGCUUUGUCAAAAUCUUUAAUUGUUUAGUCUUCAAAGAACACAACAUCGCGGCUUCUAACAAGUUUCUUCUCAACUGUAUUAUAGAAACGAUAGCCAAAUUUAUCUUGACCAUAACCAAUGGAGAUACACAAUCUAGUUUUAACAUCCAACUUUGAACUUUCAUUUUUAGGAACAUGAACAGAAGAUUUACACCCAAAGAUUCUAAGAUGAUCAUAAAAAACAUUCUUACCAGACCAAACUCUGUCAGGGACAUCAUCAUUCAAAGCAACAGUAGGAGAUAAAUUGAUAACAUAAAUAGACGUAUUAAGUGCUUCUGCCCAAAAGAAAUCUGGCAGCUUAGCAUCUGAAAGCAUACAUCUAACCCUCUCAACUAGUGUUCUGUUUAUCCUCUCUGCUAAGCCAUUCAACUAAGGAGUCUUUGGAAGAGUUUUAUGAUGCCAAAUACCCUGCUUUCUGCAAUAUCUAUCAAAAAGACUAAAAUACUCACCACCAUUAUCUGAACGGAUGCAUUUCAAUUUCUUCCCUGUCUGUCUUUCAACCAAGGCCUAAAAUUUCUUGAACACAUCUAGUACCUGAUCCUUGGACUUCAAAGGAAAUUCCCAGAGUUUGCGAGAAUGAUCAUCAAUAAAAGUCACAAAGUAAAGUGCACCACCAUGAGACCUUACUUUAAAAGGACCGCAUAAAUCAGAAUGCACCAAAUCCAGCAAGUCGAGCUUUCUUAAAGGCGGAUGACUCUGAAAAGAAACUCUUUUCUGUUUACCGGCUAAGCCAUGAACACAAUUCUUCAACUUUGCUUGUUUUACUCCAGAAAGAAAAUCUUUCUUAGCCAAACUAUCAAUCCUCUUCUCACUCAUGUGACUCAACCUUCUAUGCCACAACUCUGAUAAAGUAUCAUUCUCCACCAAGUUUAUCAAGCCUCUAGAAGUAGAGCACUGAAAUACAUACAAGUUAGACAACUUGUCACCUCGAGCCACAAUCAUCGAACCUCUAGUAAUCUUCCACUGGCCAGCACCAAGGGUAUUAACAUAACCUUCAUCAUCAAGACUUCCUACAGAAAUCAAAUUCAGGCGAACAUCUACAGCAUGCUUGACAUUAUUAAGAACUAGUUUGGAACCAUUGUUACUUUUCAAAAAAAUCGUGCCAAUGCCAAGUACUUUAACUUCAUCAUUAUUGCCCAUUUUUAACAUCCCAAAAUUACCUAGAGUAUAAGAAGAAAAUAAUUCCUUCUUUGGCGUAACAAGAGAAGUAGCACCAGAAUCCACAAACCAGCUAGACUCAUCGCGAACAAAAUUAAUGGCAUUCUCACCACAAGCAACAAGAAGAUCAUCAUUAGCAACAACAGUAAGACAAUUUUUAGUAUCGCCUUCUUUCUUUUGCUAUCUUAUAUCUCUCUUAUGCUUGUAACAAUAUUUCAUGAUAUGCCUCUUUUUGUUACAAUAGUCACAUGUAACAUUCUUGAAUUUUGACCUUGACUUGCUUCUACUUUUAUCUCUAUCAUUUGAAUCUCUGAACUUCAGAGUGUGAAGAUGAAGAAGAUGAGGCUUGAGAUCUUCUUCUCAUCUCUUCAUUCAAGGCAUCACUCUUAACAUAUUCCAUAGUUACAAUACCACCGGGAGUAGAAUUAGUCAAAGAAACUCAAAGAGUUUUCCAAGAGUCAGGCAAAGUAUUAAGAAGCCAAAGUCCCUAAAUUUCUUCAUCGAACUUUACACCCAUUUUGGAUAGUUGGUCAACGACCCCCUCAAAAUUAUUUAUAUAAUCAAAAAUAGGACUGCCCUCUUUAUACCUGAUAUUCAUCAAUUGCUUAAGCAGGAACAACUUGUUAUUGCCAUUCUUCAAAGCAUAAAGUGUCUCGAGCUUGUCCCACAAACUUCUAGCAUGUGUCUCAUUCACAAUAUGAUUUCUAAAAUUAUCUUUAACCCAUUGUCUGAUAUAUCCACAAACCUGUAAGUGCUCAAAUUCCCAAUCCUCAUCUGUCAUGGAUUCAGGUUUAGUAGAUGCAAACACAGGUAGAUGCAUUUUCUUAAGAAAUAGAAGAUCUUUCAUCUUGCCUUUCCAAGUAUGAUAGUUACUACCAUUCAAGCACACCAUCUUCCUCAUAUUUGCCUCCAUCAUUCAAAUCAACAAUCAACAACAACCAAUGCUCUGAUACCACUUGUUAGGACCAAAAUAAUUAGGUGUUACGUGGAAGCUAGUAAAGCAAAUCUCGAAAGACGCUAAAUAAGAAAAAUGAGAAAUACACCAAAAGAGACACAAUAAUUUAACGUGGUUCGAUCAAUCGACCUACAUCCAUAAAAGGAGAUAAGCAAUCUACUAUACAAAAGAGAGUACAAACUGUCAAGAGAGACAGCCUCACACAAUUCACUCAAAAUAAAAGAGGCUCACACAAGUGAUCCCGCAAUAUUUAUGUCUCACAAAGUCUCUCCCCAAACGAAACUCUCAAACCCCUAGGACUACAUUAUGGAUGCUACAAAACUAGAAGAAAUGAGUCUCUAUUUAUAGAGUUUAUAACCUUUUCCUACGAGAACAAGGAUAGCCAAAUAUGGAGAAUAUAUUUUUCUUUUUCCAAAAGAAAAACCCAAUUAUGGUACCUAAAGAAAAAUCCAAAUAUGGUAAGAAAGUUAGGACAAACACCAAUAAAAAGUAUUCAGAUGACUUACAACAUUUGCCAUGAAAAGGGUUACAAUAAGAGGGGUUGCUCUUUUGGUGAUAGAGCUACAACUAAUAGAGGAAAAGAAACAAGUUCAAGUGUUGAUUCUUAUGCAGGUCCAAAUCAGUCUGAAUCAAGCACAAGUAUGGAAAAAGAAAUACCAAAAAAUUCUAUAGAACAGGUAAAAUUUGUCUUGUUAAAUUAUUAUUAAUUCUCCUUAAAUUUUAUUAUAUUUUCAUAUUAUAUUUUUCUAUUAGGUCAUUGUUGGUGCAGUUGUUGAUUUUUCUACUGCAAAUAUGAUUGGUGGUGCUAAAAAAGAAAGAGAGACUAAAAAGGAUAGAGGAAUUGCUUCUCUUGUAUCUAAUGUAGGUGGUGGCACUGAAAAAAAAAGACCGAUAAGGAUAGAGGAAUUAUUGAUCCUUUGUCUAUUCUUACUUGUGUCAAUGAAAAUGGUAGAAGAAUUGAUGAUCCUAUAUCUAAUAUUAAUAAUGUCAUUAAAAGGGAUAAAGGGACUUCUGCUUUUACAUCAAAUAUUAUUGGUAUUAGUAGAAGAGGUAGAGGGAUUGAUGAUCCUGCAUCUAAUAUUGGUGGUGUUAUUGAAAAGCAUCAAGGAACAAAUUUUAAAAGGUCAAGGAUGAUUUGUAUAGGGGUAAUAAAUACACAAAGUGAUUCUAAAAUUCACAAUGUAAAUGAUUGAAUGAUUUUACACUUUUUAAUAUUCAAGUCAAUAAUGAAAAGGCUUAACAUUUAUUUUCGUUAAUGCAUCCUGAAAUGGCUUUGAACUCAUCUAUAGUAACAAAAAUCUUGAAUAUCAUAAACAAAGAUCAGGUGUGAAAUGAAAAGUUAAGUCUGCUGUCACCCAACAAGAACUUCAAGAAAUGAGAGCACAAAAAAUAAUGAAGACAAGUAUUAAAGAUGUAGAAAUGAAUCACUUAAGCCAAAAAAAUUCUUUAGCUAUCUAGUAUUUGAAGUCUAAUUUGUUCAAGUUUCUGUCAUGUACUUGAUGUGUGAUUUGCUCAAACAAUUAUGUAGUUAUGUCUUGAUAGAUAUAUUUUUGUAAAAUAAUUAUGCAGUUGUGAUUGCUUUGUUGUGAUGCUUAUUUUUAAAAAAAUAAUUAUGCAGAUGUUACUGUAAUUUGUUGACUUCUUAAUUAUGCAACUGUGAUUGUAAUUUUUUGAUAUGUUAUGCAACCGUGGCUUUAUCUUUUUUUUUUUUUAAACAAUCAUGCAGUUAUGGCAUGAAUAUUUCUUUUAGUAUCAUGCCGCUAAGACUUACUUUAAUUUGGGUAUAUGAUUUUUGUUAGUAUCAUUUUUUUGUGUUCCAUUAUCAUAAGGAACUGAAAAUAAAAUGACAAUAUAAGAAACUUCAAACAAGAUGUUCUUAAAUAUAAAUAGACUACACAAACAAAGAACUACAUAAGAUUGACAGAUAAGUCAGUGAUGAUUAUAAAAGAUCAAAUCAAAUUAAAGACUUUUAUAUAUUAAAAUUCUAAGAUAAUUUUAUUAAGUCUUUCUUUGUAUAGAUCAUCCCAAAUCAAUGGCUUAUAACACAAUGCAACAAUAAAACACAAUAUAUAUAUGAGUAUAUUUUUUCAGUUCUUUCUUUAGCCAUGUUACUUCUCCAUUUCUUCUCUCUUUCUUUUAUCUUCUCAAUCUCUUCUUUCAACUUUUUCAAUAUCAUAUCUACACAUUUAUCAUCUUAUUUAAAAACUUUUGGCUUGUCAAAUUCUUUAAAAGCUUUCAUCUUCACACCUUUCCUAACUGAUGGUUUCAUCAUUUGAUGACAAAAUUUCAUUAAAUACUCAAACUAGCACAAUUUUUUAAACUAAUUUACAAAUUAUAAAUUUGGACCUCAGAUUAAUAUCUUCUUUGUAUUGAUCUUAGACUCUUCAAUGAUUUGAAUAAAGAAUUGAUGCUCAAUACAAUAUGUUGAAAUGAAAAAUAAUAGAAAAUUUUGAUACUUACUUCAUAAUAAGGACAUGAUCAAUAUUUGUUGGGUCAUGGGCCUUUGUCAGUUCCUAUGUGGAUAAAAUGAAGCUCAAUUUGGACCAAUCCACUUUUGCCCAUAGGCCCAUUACUAUGGGGCAUAUAUAUUGAUCUUUUUGGGUCUUAUCCACCAUCACAAAAAGAGAGUUUUCAGCAUCCAGAGAGAGAAAAACAAAGCUAAUUUUCGCACCUAAAUUUCAGCCACAACUAUCAACUUUAAAUUGCAAUUCCCGCUUCGUUUCUUGUUCGAUUGAGAUAAUUUUUGGACUGAUUAUUCCUAUCAUCUAAAUAUUUGAUUAAGAAUAGACGGAGAUUGAUUUGGUGGCCUGUAGCUCCUGUUCUUCAUUCCCGAACAGUAGCUGCAUUUUUUGUGCUUUCACUCAUUUAUUUCUCUAGUGUUUGGUGCUGUGGUUUAUGUAUUGUUUCUUAUUGUUUGGAACUUGUUUGGUGUCCAUUUUGGAGGAUAAUAUUGUAACUCUUUGGUUAUUAUAGUGGAGGUUUGGUCCCGUAGUUUUUUACUCUUCACACCGAAGGAUUUUCC
rnacentral:lncRNA from 1 species